rnacentral:rRNA from 1 species
UACGUAGGGUGCGAGCGUUGUCCGGAAUUACUGGGCGUAAAGAGCUCGUAGGUGGUUUGUCGCGUUGUUCGUGAAAACUCACAGCUCAACUGUGGGCGUGCGGGCGAUACGGGCAGACUGGAGUACUGCAGGGGAGACUGGAAUUCCUGGUGUAGCGGUGGAAUGCGCAGAUAUCAGGAGGAACACCGGUGGCGAAGGCGGGUCUCUGGGCCGAUACUGACGCUGAGGAGCGAAAGCAUGGGUAGCGAACAGG